rnacentral:lncRNA from 1 species
UAAGAUUUUACCCUUUAAUGCAAUCUUUUCUCAAAAACAAUCUUUCCAGUCCGAGCUUUCACAUUUGACGUUUCUGUGCAUUAUUAUUACUCAUUACAAAAUGGUGACAAAUCUUUUUUCAGUUAAAAAUGCACUGGAUACAUCCAUGCAACAUCAAACUGUGUUUAGCAAACAAUCAUGCUGUCCAAAAUUCACAUAACAGCGCUCAUUUAGUGGAUGCUCAUGUCUUUGAGUUUUGUUCCUGAGCACUUACAUUUCAUUUGGGGGUUUGAAUCCCAACAGUCAAGAUUUUUCCUUUAAAGGAACAUUCACAGAUCUACAGAGACCCAAACAUUAAACAGAGAGUCCAACAAGAGGAAGGAGAGAGUGAUGAUGAGCUGCAGGAGCUCAACAUUCAUGGGGUAAAGUUUGAUUCAUACUAUUGGGGUUUUAGUCUGAAAAUGUGGAUUUUACAAUACCUACUAAAGUAAAAAGUUUAAGUUCCGGUGGUUCUUGAGUCAUUAUUUCAACAAUACUUACAAUAAAAGUUGCAUUUUUAAAAAGAAAAGUUCUCGCAUAAGAAACAACUUUAUUCUAAAAUGACUAAUUGCUUCAUCAAAUGAUGUUUGAAAUGAUUUUUUCCACACAGCAGUUAAACUAAAAACCUCUGAAAGGAUUUUCCCCACUUGCACACUAACAUGUUGUUAAAUUUGGCACGUCAUGUUUCACAUUCAUUAAUCAGUGAUCAUACACAUCAAGGUUUAAGGUGGUUGGAGUCCCUUUUGGACCCACCAAACGAGGCUGAUUGUUUACAGCAGCCAAAUCGGUGCGUCAGAGUUUAAAACUUCUGUGUAUAAGACUUAUUGUUGAACUGUUACUAGAAAUCAUGAUUUUAGAGUAUUCUUUAGAUAUGUUUAUACUCCUAUAAAAACAGCUUGUUAAUUAAGAUAGGAAAGAUUAAAACUAGCUCUCCUCUGAUCAUUACAAUCCUGCUUUCUUCCCCUAGAAUAUACUAAAACCCCCAUUUUCAUCAUUUGUUUACUGUGUUUUUGUGACACAAAACUAUCAGUAAGAUAAGAUAUAGUUUGUAAAGAAUACUAGAUUAUAGCCCAUGUUUAGUACUCCCGUUAGUCCUGGUAACUUCAAGAUUCAUAAAUGCUCAUUACUCUGACACUCUUAUUUUGAAUGCACAAGCACAUUUGACUCAAAAUUCAACUUAACUGUGAACUUCCAAACCAACCAGCUCAAAAUCAGCAUCCUAAACCUGUGGCACGUUGUCAUUGAUACAAAUAAACUGUACAUACUUUUUCUUUGCGGGUUUCUAUACAUUGUUUUCCUGCCAUCUAUACAGCGUUAGAAAAUAUAUAAAAUAUUAAGUGAAAAUUUACAUGUCCAUUCAAGUUAAAAACACAAUUCUGCUCUUCAAAGCUAUUUACAAAUCUCUGUGUGGUUACGUGUUGUCAUUCAGCUGUCAACACAGGAGUGGGAGGGUGUCUCUGUUCAGUGAAAACAGCUAAAUAAUAAUAAAAAAAGAGUGAUGUAUGAGCUGCAAACUGGAUAUGAGCCUUUUUUUUCUUUGGAUUCCUCUUUUCAGAUUAAAAUGAUCAUGUAUUGUUGCAAAGGCGUACACAUGGAGGGGGAACAUCUGAGCCAGAGAUGAGGAUGUAAGGAUGUCCUGUACCGACACGGUUUCUACUCAUGUAAACAAAAGGCAAAUUCUGACUAACCCACCAGGUCAAAGAGAAAACAGUUUACACUGAGCAAAUUAUCGAACUCAGAGGGUCACAGUGUCUGGUUACAUGUUUCUCUAGUGGAGUAGUUGGUGGAGAGUUUAACCAGACACAGCCUUCGUAUAACCGUACGUCAAUUUUAGUGCUAACUAGAUACUGUCACAGGUAAUUGUUAACAUCUAAUUGUGGAGCGUUACAGCAUUCGAGCAGCGGGUAUAAACCAGAGCUACGAUCCCAGCUCUUCUUUGACACUAAAUUUGACAUUUCAGGCCCAUAAUGAUAAAAAAUGAAAGUAAUUUGUUUAACCGACUAGUACCUUGAGUGCUAACUAGCAAGGGUGAUAUUUAGUCGACUAAACGUCCAUCUCUGGUAACACAGUAUGCCGAUUAUGCUCCUAAAAUUGAGGUUCUUGAGUAUCCAAAUGUUGUUACCUGAUUUCCUCUAUAGACUCAAACUGAGAUUGGUGACUCUUCAGACUCUGAAGAGGAGGAGGAGGAGCCAAAACAAUCAGAUGAUAGAACCAAAGACUAUGAGCGGCAUUAGCAUCGGCUGAACCAAAAUACUGAUUUAUUUAGAUAAUGAAAGUAUUUCUUAGAUGAAACAAUCAUAUGGUACGUGGGAAUUAAGUUCCUCAGUGGUUGAUUCAGCAUGCAGCACCAUGAGAUUAAAAAAAAAAACAGCCUUAGUGUGACAGUCAUUCAAAAAAAGUAAAAAAGAUAAACAAAAAAAAAAGUUUUUGUACCAGUUAUGAAAUAAACUCAACUUACUCUUGCAGCGUGCAUCAGCUAAGGCAGAGAUGUAUAGCAUUAAAUACUUUCACUGUGACAGCCUGGGAAACAGAGAGCACUGAUGGACGCUGGGAGAAGUAUGUGGCCUGAAACGGACAACAGAGCGCUUCAUGAAUCGGUCAAGGUUAGUGGACUCGUCAUGUUGGAGGCAUUGGUGGGAGCUGUCAGAUAAACCAUCAGUGAGAUCACGUCAAAGUAAGGAAUACCAAUAAUGAAUACAGUGUCUGGACUCUGAUCCAGUUUUGAGUUUGCUGAGGUAUCAUGUAAGAUAUCUGAGACUCUUCCAGUCUGGGUCCAUUUCUGUUAGUGUUUAAACUAUAGGGGUUCUUUGACUUUAAUUUUAAUGCCUUAUCCAGCUUUAAGAGAAACAAAAUGUGAAGGGCAACUGACUGACCCAAGAAAAUGGCAAAAAAUAGAGAUUACAUUGUGGACUGAAUGCCUCUUACAAAUCAAAGAAACAUCUAUCCUUGAGACUUUUAAAUUGGAUCCUUUUUAAAAUGUCAUCCAUGCUACAUCAAAUGAAUUAAGCCAUUAUCAUUAUGGGUUAAAGAUCAUCAAGUCUCAGGACUGUGGACGUGCUCUGGGGUCUGCUCCACCUUUAUUGACCAGGAAGCAUAUCCAUUGUGUUAAGAUAAAUAAAAUAAAAAAAUGACUGUCAGUGAAAUAAAAACAAAUAUAACAUUCAUACAAAUUUACUGUAAGGCAUUCUUUCACCAGGU